UCUGCGGCAGGGAAGCGUAUCCGAGUCUUACGUCGUUGUUCACGGAAGCACACCGGAGAUCAGUUGCAAAAGUAACGUGCGAGGGACGCAGCUCCCCGUAGCAUCCGGGUCGCAGGGCAAGUGCCCUAAGAAACGCAGAAUUGGGGGAACAGGGUAGGGACCUCCCAUGGAGGAUGCGGGAAAGAGAGUGCCCCUGACAAAAGGUCUGAAAUGCGGUCCCUGACUCUUCCUGGCGGUGUGACCUGGGGCAAGUGAUUUCAUCUCUCUGAACCUCCAUUUCUUUGUCAAGUGGACCUAACAGUCACACACCAAAUUUCAUUAGAAACCCUCAACAUGUGUGUAUACAGAAUAGCCCUGGAGCAAAGGAGACCCUGUACAUGCCUACCAACAAGCCCAUCAGGAACACACCUGAAGUGGGGUUUAUUCAUUCUGGGAGAAGCAGGCUCCCUGUGGGGAGCCCGAUGUGGGACUCGAUCCCAGGACCCUGGAUCACGACCUGAGCCAAAGGCAGACGCUUAACCACUGAGCCAUCCAGAUUUAUUUAUGAUAGAGAGAGAGAGAGAGAGGCAGAAGGAGAAGCAGGCUCCAUGCCGGGAGCCCGACGCGGGACUCGAUCCCGGGACUCCAGGAUCGCGCCCUGGGCCACAGGCAGACGCCAAACCGCUGAGCCACCCGGGGAUCCCCGAACCUAGAAAUUUUAAUAUAAACAUAUUCUGAAAUUGUAUUGAUGCUUGAUUGUCACCUGUAUUUUUGUUUCUGCUUAUGAUCAUACUGGCUCCAACUAGAAGUACUUCAAUAAUGUCACACUAAAUAGAAAAGAUGUGAACUAAAUAUAUAAAUGAUACACUCAAGCUAAAUGGAGACCAGACGAUGUCCUAUCAAUGUUUUCAUAGUAUUCCAGGAAAAAGUGUGGGAGAAUUGAGUCAUCACCCAAAUAUCAUGGGAGGAGAUACACUGAACUCAGAAGAACCCAUGUUUUACAGGGAAGUGCCAUAGUCAAGUGGCAAAGCCAAAAGAGAAUAGAGUAGUUAUUAGAUUUUGUUGAUUUCAAGAUCAAAGUGGCUUUUUCACUUCUGAUAAAAUCAGCAGAGUAAGAAGAUGUGAUGAAAUGACCUUCCUUAUACCAGUUACCACUUAGCAAGUGAUUAUAAGUACUUGCUGAUGAGUCUAAUUUUAUAACUUUGAGCACAAAUUGUUGAAAGGAACUGUAAUCCGAUGAUAUGACUUGAUCAAUAAUACACCAAAACAGACCCGAAUUAGUUUUAUCUAUCCAAGAGAGUCAUAACCUGACUUCAAUCAGUGGCUUUCUCUUCCUCUGUUACUUUGGAUGCUAUUGAACAAAUUUCUUCUUGAAAUAUUUUCUCCCUUCAGGGUCUAUGACAUGACUGUAUCUUUCUACUACCCUAAGAGCUCCUUCUCAGCUUCCUUGGAGGGCUUACUUCUGAACUGUACUAUUUCCCUGGUUCCAUUUCAGCUGUCUUCUCUGCAAUCACAUCCUCACUUGUCACUCAACUACCAAUACAGCCAUCACUCCCAAAUCUCAAGCUCCCUGCUACUUUUGAACUUGACACCCAGAGCUUCCACUUGAGUAUUUUUAAAAACUACUGCAUAGUUAUAAAUGUCAAAAACAGAUACUCUCUUUUUGUAAAUCUUGCAAAGGGACUAAAGAUUUCCCUAGUAAAUCAGAAAUCCUGGCUUUUCCGCUUUGGAGUUUCAAGUUACUGUAACCCUUCUGUUGUGCUGCGAUGGUCCUAAAUAAACUAAGUGGCCUGAAGUGUCCAAUAAUAGUCCUCAAGAAGAAAUCCACCAUAAUGGUGGUGGUGGUGGAUGUGGAGGUGGAGGGAAAAGGCUAGGCUGGUAAGUCAGGUCAAUGCCAGAGCCUGUCUGGUCUUAGGGGAAGGUCAGUUGGGAACCAAGUAAUGAUGUUGCAUCCUGUCCUGACCCACUAUCUUGGACCUUGGGGUUCCAAGGCCCAGAAGUGGUUGAUUUUCUGUACGUGAAAAUACUUGUCACUAGAGUUGUAACUGGGUCUGUGCAGUGGUUAGGCCUCUAACCCUUAGACAUGAGAGCUGGAUGUACUGUUUUCUGUACCAGUCUCACAAAAGCAGAAGUAAGAAACUUAGGCAGUCAGAUCAGACUUCUCAGUUUUUUUUUUUUUGCCUGCAUAACAGAAGUAAACAGGACUGACUCAUUUGGACAAAGUACACCUGAGGGGUCUUACUUUCCAAGGAAGAGCUCAGGGAAUGAUGAAUAGACUUUUCAAAAACCAAAUUUGCUUUAUUUAUGUACUAACUUAAGUAUGGCUUUAUUUUCAACCACGGCAGGUGAAAUAGGAUAUAUGUGAAAGCUUCUAGAACAAGUCUGACACUUGGUGUGUACUCAAUGAUAUUUGGAUUUGAAUCUAAAUCUUCUUUAUUUAUUUUAAAAAUGUUUUAUUUAUUUAUUCAUGAGAGACACAGUGAUAGGGACAGAGACAUAGGCAGAGGGAGAAGCAGGCUCCAUACCGGGAGCUGGAUGUGGGACUCAAUCCCAGGACCCUGGGAUCACACCCUGAGCCAAAGGCAGAUGCUCAACCACUGAGCCACCCAGGCAUCCAUCCUCUAAAUCUUGUUUAAUAAGACAUACAUACUACUGUGUUUGAGAAAUUAUAGGGAAGAACCUGGCUUCAAGUUGGCAUUUCCUUCUGUGACCCCACAGAGCAACUGUCAUCUUUCUCUCUUAAGAGGAAUCAAUCCCAUUUUUAAUAGGACUGGAUUUGGGAAGGAUUUGGAGUCAGCAGAGUCCGUUAAAUUCAUGCACGUGUGAUUCCACAAUAUAGACCAUGUUUAUAGGAUUAGUUCUUCUUCUUCUGUGUCUAUCUCCUUACCCCAGGCCUCCAUAGUCUCUCAUCUGCAUUGCUGCGAUAGUUUACUUGGGCACUCCACCUCUACUCUUUAUUCUACAUGCAGCAACAAAGCAUGAUCGUCUUUACAUAGACGUAGGAUCACAUCAUUCUCUUGCCUGAUACCCAUCAAUGGCUUCCCCCAUUGAAUUCUGAAUAAAACUCAUCAUUCUUGCUGUGCCCUGAAAGGCCCCAAAUGAUCUGGCCACUAUCCAUCCCUGAACCCCUUCACUUUUUCCUACCAUCAAGGUUAUCACACUUCUUUCGGUGUUAACUUGAAUGUCACCUGUGAAGUCUUCUCUGAACAUCCUGUCAAACUAGCAAAGUGUGUUCUCUUCUGCUAUUCUGUAGCUCAACAGCCUCUUGUUUAAGACUUCAUAUUCUAUAUUAUUUUAUCAAUUUGUAUGUUUCCCUUUUUUGUUCAUCUAUUCCUUGCACUAGAAUUGUAAGCACAGAAUCACGACUGACCCAUGCAAAACUAUCCAUAUCUACAGCAGCCAUUGGAACUCAGUAAGUCUUUGUCAGAUGAAGGAAAUGAGAUGAUUUUGUUGAGUGCUCCCAAGUUAUGGAAUUGUACAUAAAAUCUGCCCCCAUGAACCACAGAGAAUAACUAUCUGAUAUAUUUAUUUUUCCAAGGGACUGAGUUUCUGACUAUAUACAUUCAUGCUGAAUACUUAAAUACAUACCAGAGUAUUCAGCAAACUGUGGUUACAAACAGUAUCCAAAUAUAUUAUGUAAUAAUGACAUAAAUGAAGACGUUCUAUUCAUAAAACCAGGCUAAUAUGUGUAACUUCAAAACUAAUUGUAAUUCGAUCUGAAAUGCUAUUCUUUACCAAAAAAAGAGGGGAAAAAUGUUCACUCUCACUAGUAAUCAUAUGAACUCACCUUAGGAAAACAAAGUGUCAUCUUCCACAUUCAAAAUAGGCAGUCUUUAUUUUUAAGGUAAAAUUUAUUUGGCCUGUCUGAGGCAAAAUGAACAGAUUAUCCUACAAUGCUGGUGAAAAGUCAAUUGGUAAAGGUUUUUCUCAGAAAAAUAAUUUAAUAGUAUGCACUAAAAUAAUUAAUGUUUUGGAUCUACAUUGUCUGCCUGGCAAGUCCUUAUUGGUAAAAUACUAAUGAAUUGAUAGAGAAAUUUAGCUACCUGGAUUUUUACAAGGUUGCUUGUAAUUUGAAAAGUCCUAAAUAUAUAAAGCUAUGUAACUAUAACUAUGUUGUAUGAAUAAAAUAAUAGAGGAAUAGUGCAUAUAUAUAAUGGUGUAUUUAGAAAGAUUAUUAUACUAUAUAAUUAAUGGAAAAAUUUUCCA